rnacentral:rRNA from 1 species
CCUACGGGGGGCUGCAGUGAGGAAUAUUGGUCAAUGGGCGCAAGCCUGAACCAGCCAAGUCGCGUGAGGGAUGAAGGUUCUAUGGAUUGUAAACCUCUUUUAUAAGGGAAUAAAGUGUGGGACGUGUCGCAUUUUGUAUGUACCUUAUGAAUAAGGAUCGGCUAAUUCCGUGCCAGCAGCCGCGGUAAUACGGAGGAUCCGGGCGUUAUCCGGAUUUAUUGGGUUUAAAGGGUGCGUAGGCGGCCUUUUAAGCGUGUGGUGAAAUUCCGUGGCUCAACCAUGGAAUUGCCGGGGAAACUGGGGGGCUUGAGUGUGUGUGAGGCAGGCGGAAUGCGUGGUGUAGCGGUGAAAUGCUUAGAUAUCACGCAGAACCCCGAUUGCGAAGGCAGCCUGCCAUGCCAUGACUGACGCUGAUGCACGAAAGCGUGGGGAUCAAACAGGAUUAGAUACCCGAGUAGUC